AUUGAACGCUGCGGCAGGCCUAACACAUGCAAGUCGAGCGGAUGAAGGGAGCUUGCUCCUGGAUUCAGCGGCGGACGGGUGAGUAAUGCCUAGGAAUCUGCCUGGUAGUGGGGGAUAACGUCCGGAAACGGGCGCUAAUACCGCAUACGUCCUGAGGGAGAAAGUGGGGGAUCUUCGGACCUCACGCUAUCGGAUGAGCCUAGGUCGGAUUAGCUAGUUGGUGGGGUAAAGGCCUACCAAGGCGACGAUCCGUAACUGGUCUGAGAGGAUGAUCAGUCACACUGGAACUGAGACACGGUCCAGACUCCUACGGGAGGCAGCAGUGGGGAAUAUUGGACAAUGGGCGAAAGCCUGAUCCAGCCAUGCCGCGUGUGUGAAGAAGGUCUUCGGAUUGUAAAGCACUUUAAGUUGGGAGGAAGGGCAGUAAGUUAAUACCUUGCUGUUUUGACGUUACCAACAGAAUAAGCACCGGCUAACUUCGUG
rnacentral:rRNA from 1 species